UACGUAGGGUGCGAGCGUUGUCCGGAUUUAUUGGGCGUAAAGAGCUCGUAGGCGGUUUGUCGCGUCGGCCGUGAAAUCUCCACGCUUAACGUGGAGCGUGCGGUCGAUACGGGCAGACUUGAGUUCGGUAGGGGAGACUGGAAUUCCUGGUGUAGCGGUGAAAUGCGCAGAUAUCAGGAAGAACACCCGUGGCGAAGGCGGCUCUCUGGGACGGUACUGACGCUGAGACGCGAAAGCGUGGGAGAGCGAAUCAG
rnacentral:rRNA from 1 species